CGAGGGUGCAAACGUUGCUCGGAUUUACUGGGCGUAAAGCGCGUGCAGGCGGACUCGCAAGUCGGUUGUGAAAUCCCUGGGCUCAACCUAGGAACUGCAUCCGAAACUGCUUGUCUUGAGUAAUGGAGAGGGUGGCGGAAUUCCCGGUGUAGAGGUGAAAUUCGUAGAUAUCGGGAGGAACAUCAGUGGCGAAGGCGGCCACCUGGACAUUUACUGACGCUGAGACGCGAAAGCGUGGGGAGCAAACAGGAUUAGAUACCCGAGUAGUCC
rnacentral:rRNA from 1 species